UACUAUAAAAGAGAGUUGGUUCUCUCCUGCUGACACGUCAGAUUCCACAUAAGAAAUUCGCUUGAUAUCGCGCUGACACGUGUUCAGUGCGUACGAAACUAGGCGUUUCUGCGAUGGCUAUUCAUGCCGUUUGGGUUUCCUCACUCUCCACAAAACGGACGGAGUUGCAAUCUCUUCAAUGCAUUGUUCGUCGCUUGGACUCGAUGUGAGAUCGAUAUAAAUAGGGGAGUACUCCUCCAAUCAACGCAUCGUCUAAUUCUCUCUCUAUCAAAUUUCUGAUUCGUGUGGUUAUGACUAUUUCAAGAGUUUUGAUUUUUAUUUUCUUUAGAUCUGUGUUUAAUCAUUCCGGCGAGUUUGUUUUGUUUACUGAUGAAGAUUUAUCUCUUUUCUGUUUUCAGUUGACGGAGUUAUGAGCACUUCUCCCAUCGGAAUCACAUCAAAAGAAUCGGUUCCUGCUAGGUUUCUAUAGCAUUGAAGAUGAGGCUGUGCACAUGGUCGCUGGGAAAGGUCGAUUAGAUGUGGGCUUGGCUCAUCGGAAAUAUUGAGUUUGCAUUUGGUAAAAGCGGAGUAUUCCUCGGAGACGUGCGAGACUUGGGUUCAUGUAGCUGCCAUAAAUCAGACGUUGAACCCUAAAUUUUCAACCAUUGCUAUAAAAACAAUGGCUUUGUUCUCCGCACCUUACAUCACGAAUAAGACAUGAGUCUUCUGGUAUUUGGACGAAUUUGAGAUCCAUGAGGCACUCAAUGCUGCUCAAGUCUUAGAGAGAAUUAGACAGAUUAUGUUGGAUGUCAUGUCUUCGUGGUAUAAGAAAAAUACUCUCAAAGCAAGACAGACAUUAUGAGUUGUUAUGUUAUAGUUUCUUACUGAUAUAAGAAGAGAAGUUAUGAUGGGACA